CGCGCGGUACAUGACUGGCGAUGGAAGGUGGAAGACCACCGGGAAGUGUACCGAGCGCACUCUGUGAGACACAUUGCACACUGGCUGCGAUGUGGCGUAUGAAAAAAUACGGAUUGGACAAGAUAGCCACUCGGUGGAAGUUUUGCCAUUUUUUGCUGAUCGAGUUCGUGGAAUGAAGCCGUUCGCCUGGGCGCCAAAC
rnacentral:ncRNA from 1 species